GGAAGCCGCGGCCACGCCGAGUAGGAACGAGGGUACAGCUUCC
rfam:Human astrovirus type 1 genes for capsid protein and nonstructural protein